rnacentral:rRNA from 1 species
CCAGCAGCCGCGGUAAUUCCAGCUCCAAUAGCGUAUAUUUAAGUUGCUGCAGUUAAAAAGCUCGUAGUCGGAUUUUGGCUGAGAACGGUCGGUCCGCCGUUAGGUGUGCACUGACUGGUCUCAGCUUCCUGGUGAGGAGGUGUGCUUCACGGCCACUUAGUCACCGUGGUUACUUUGAAAAAAUUAGAGUGUUCAAAGCGGGCUUACGCUUGAAUAUAUUAGCAUGGAAUAACACCAUAGGACUCCUGUCCUAUUUCGUUGGUCUCGGGACGGGAGUAAUGAUUAAGAGGAACAGUUGGGGGCAUUCGUAUUUCAUUGUCAGAGGUGAAAUUCUUGGAUUUAUGAAAGACGAACUUCUGCGAAAGCAUUUGCCAAGGAUGUUUUCAUUGAUCAAGAACGAAAGU